UAGGGAAUAUUAGUAAUGGGCGAAAGCCUGAACUAGCAACACCGCGUGUGCGAAGAAGGCCUUCGGGUUGUAAAGCACUUUUUGAGAGGAUGAGGAAGGACGGUACUCUCAGAAUAAGGCUCGGCUAACUACGUGCCAGCAGCCGCGGGAACACGUAGGAGGCAAACGGUAGCCGGAUAUACUGGGCGUAAAGCGUGUGUAGGUGGUUUGGUAAGUAGAGUGUGAAAGCCCCUGGUUCAACUGGGAGAGGUCGUUUGAAACUGCCGGACU
rnacentral:rRNA from 1 species